GCUGGGAUGAACUCCAAAAGCCUUUGAAAUGGGGGAAAGAAGAGAAUGCUCAUUUCUUCCACGCAGGCGGAGACGUUGAAUAGAUGCCGGCUUGCAGAAGACUGAAGCUGCGACGAAGUAGACGGCUGAACUUGACCUCCUCCUAGUGUGCAACUGGGGUCGACCCAUGCGGUUGGCUGGUCACCUACGGUGAUGCAUAUUUUUGGACCCGAUACGCAUUUUAACUUGAUUUACGAUCACCUGCACCCCACAAAAAUAAAAUAUUAAUGCAGCAUUGUUAUCAUUAUUUGUUAGCAAUAAUGCUAAUUUAAGUGAUGUGUAGAUCGCACUUUUGUGCUCUCAUCAUAAGUAAUCUGUCUUAAUCUUAUCGUAGAUCUUGUAUUACGUUUUAUAAGAUGAACCAGUGUUUUUCAUACAAUUUGAAUUGUAUACAUGAUUUGUGAAGAAAGUAAGUAACCUGUUCUAAUCCUGUUAUGGAUCAUGUCAUGUU
rnacentral:lncRNA from 1 species